CACUCCCCACCCAUCCACUCACCAGUUCCUCCUACCGUCCACUCCAUGCUCUUUACUCUUGCAGCUUCAGAUCUGCAGAGCAUGGAGUAGCGCUAGCCGCCGCAGCUGCAAAGACAUUUCAGCCAUCGCUGGUCGCAUUCCCCUCUCCAAGUUCCCUUCUCUUCAAUUCAAGCACUUACUGCUCAGUCGACUCCUUCCACCUACAAGCUAGCCAGCGCCGCUGUGUCGCCAUGAGCCCCAUCAUCACGAUGCUCCUCGUCCUCAUCGGGGUCGUCGUCGGCGGCGCCGUGGUGAUGAUCUGCGUCUGGUUCGUCAAGCUGGAGCGCGAAGUGCUGGCAGGAGUCGAUGCACUAGCAGCACUUGCUGCAGUGGCAGCGCUGAAUGAGCUGGCGGCAGCAGCAGGCAGGUCCCAGCUGGAGCCGGAGGAGCCGACGGCGACGCGCCGCCGGCGCCAUGCAUGAUCGAUCGUCGAGAUGGAGCUGCGGUGUGCGAUUUGCAGUUUAUUUAGACAAUUUGUUGGUGAGGUAUGGUCUCGAUCUGCUUCGAUCUGGUGUUGUGUGUAUGUGUGCUGGGGUUCGAUUUCGAUGCAAGCUAGCUAGCUCAGCUCGAUCAGCUACUUCAUCUCUCUUCUUUUUCUAGUCAGAUGCAGUGUUAUUAAUUGUUCGCUGUAUAUAUGUCUCUAGGGUCUUAGCUUGUGUGGAUCGACUAUGUGAGAAAAUGAUCCAUCAGCAUCAGGCACUGUCGUGUGUGUCGUGGAUUAAUUAUUCGAGGAUGCUAAUUCU